ACUUCAGCUGUUGUUUCCGUGACAUUGGUGAGUAGCAGACGAUCAUUAUUUGAAUAAAAAUAGUCAGUCAGACAAAUGGCAGCGCGACACACGUGGAAAUCUUAUUUACUUUGGUGUGCAAAUGAACAUGUGUCCUUCAGAAUUCCUGAAGUUGAAGCUAUUUUAGCAAUGUACAAAAUUCCACAUACAUGGAUAGAAAAACCAGCAGAAAAUCCUUGGAUGCUCAUUUCCAUGCCCAGUGAGGAUUGUGCAAUAAAGCUUAUGAAGAGAUCUGUCACAGUUCGGUCCAUAAUCGAGUUGUGGGCAAGAUCAACCACAAAAGAACACCUUGAUGACCAACUAAAAAUCCUACCUACUGAAUUUACAUUUUAUUUCAAAAAGGAAAACACAUUCAAAGUUGUGGUGGAUACAUUUAAUAAAGUAACAAGCCAAGAGGAUAAAAUAAAAAAAAUUGAGUCUUUUAGUUUUCUGCCUAUUCUUGGAACUGCCAAUUUGAAAAACCCAAGUGUGACCUAUCAUUAUUAUGAAUUUUUUGGACUUGAUGCAGGACGUAUUCCGGAGAAUCCGUAUGAUUACUUUUUUGGCAGAUGGGUUUCGAAUAGCGAAAGAUCGGCCGUAGAAAAAUAUUCCCUUAAGACUAGACACUUCAUUGGCAACACUAGCAUGGAUCCUAAAUUAUCGAUGAUUAUGGCUAACCUUGCCCAGAUUGACGAUGGCCAUGUAGUUGUUGACCCUUUUGUUGGGACAGGAUCUCUUCUAGUAGCCGCAGCUCAUUUCGGUGGUUAUGUUUGCGGCACGGAUAUAGAUUAUCUCACACUUCACGGGAAGAUGAAACCUAGUAGAGCUCAUCAAAAAAAACGUCAACCAGAUGAGGAUAUCAAGGGGAACCUCAAGACUUACAAUCUCUUCUCGCGCUAUUUAGACGUGUUUGUGGGUGACGCAUCCAGACCCGUUUGGAGACCGGAAUUUCGUUUCGAUUCCAUAAUAACCGAUCCACCCUACGGAAUUCGCGAAUCGACAGAAAAAGUGGGCAGCAAGAAAAUAGCUCCUGUUCCGGAAGAACUAGCUUCACCACAUUUCCCUUCAAAAACCCAAUAUGGUUUAGGCGAUAUGUACAAAGAUCUUCUCAAUUUUGCUGCCAACAACCUCAAAGUAAAUGGAAGAGUGGUAUUUUGGAUUCCGAUUAUAAGAAUGGAAUACGAUCCUGACCUGUUACCAGAACAUCCCUGUCUUGAAACGGUAGCCAAUAGCGAGCAAAUCCUUAAUUUGCAUUCCAGCCGGCGGUUAAUCACUAUGCAAAAAACGAUGGAACCCAAAGAAGCAGCAGAUUCGGCAAUAAUCCAUGAUCUGCAGUACACUUUCCGCCACAAGUUCUUUAACACCGGUGAAAUUAAAGGGCGUGCGAGAGAAGAUGUGCAAGCCGAAUAUCUCACUAAAAGAAGUAAACGUGGAAAUGGAGUAGCAAAAUUGCCAUGUAAUGAGUAAAUCAACGAAUUUUUAAUACGGCGCGCAAUACACGUUUGAAGAAUAGACGGGAAGAACACGUGAUGCACUAAUAAAAACAAGGCCGGCUUGGUAAGACCUGUAGCAUUCAACGCGUCAGCCACAUGAAUGAUUUAUGCAAUGAAUCCAAAGGAAAAAUAUUGCGGAUCUGGCGCUUUUUCCCUAUAAACAGCAUGGUCCAGACGCAGGUGCGCCAAUACUCUCGGUACGUUUUGAUUAUAUUCUCACUGUUACACUGUUAUAGCUAUGAAAGUUAAAAGGGCGUUCCCCAAAAGUUCAAUACUCUUAAAGGUUAAAAGUCGUGAUGUCCUUUUCUGCAUUUGACGUCUACCAACAGCUUCCCAGUCCAUUUCCGUCAGUUAGAAUAACGAAAAGAUUUAGUUUUUUUGGCGGCGUGCUCUGGAAAAAUGUCUUGUAUUCCCGGUCCUUUGUCGGGGUUGGUGAAUUUCGCUUCCUCGCGCAAUUGCUUUCGUAUUUUUGCGAGAGAGAUGGUUAGGAGGUCUAUGUGAACUUGCCCUCGUAUUGCUGUCCACUUUGAAAUAAAAGCAAUUAAUUAUUUCGUUAGUUUUUCGUGAUUAAUUAGACUUUAAAAUUUCAGUUUUCCUCUUACUAUGUCGGCAUCGUUCGAGUUUUUGUGGAUCCUGUAGAAAAUUUAACUGAAAUUGCUCCCCUUUAAAACAUGUCCAAUGUGAAAUUAGCUUCCUUUUCAUUAGACAAACUAAUCGGGAUUUUGUAUACCAUAAAUCGUUGGCUUCUAAGUGAUUGAAGGUAUAAUUGAAAGUAUGUAUUGAAGGUACUGUUUCAUUACCUGUCCUAAUUCCCUUGAAUCCUCAGGCUCUGAAUAAUUAAUCUAGAAACGCAGGACAAUAUGCGAUUGAAUUUCGUCAGUGUUCGUAUUAAUCUAAUUGUAAUACCACAAUAGAAACAAUUCUUUUUUUCGAAUCGGAAAUCUUGCAUCCUCCUUAUCUGAGGCGGAUGAAGAUCAAUGUCUUCUCUCUGCAAUCGGCGAGGAAUCAGACUGAAAUAGUGGUCAAUUUGCUUCGAGAUAUUUAGAUGACUGCUAUAAUAUUGUAUUCGGAUAGAAUGUUUUUAAUUUCCGGUCUUAUGUCUGGAUUCUCAGAUACCAUCUUGAUAAGCAGCCGUUUCUGCGUGCAAGAAAAUUUAAUGCCCGAUAAAACAAAGUGUAUCUCUGUGUGUCUGCUUACUUACAAACUUUGUGCCGUAGAUUUCUUCAAAUUUAGGUGGGAGCUGGUAAACUUUCAAGUUGGAAAUGGCUAUCAGUCGCUCGGAAGCGGAACCGAAUGGAAUCAGCAGUUCGAAGAGGAUGAUAGCCAGUGCAUAGACGUCCACCUUGUGGUUAUACGUUUGGCAUUUCUCCUGUUCAGGUGCCAUGUAAGGCUUGGUGCCAACAUAGACCGUGUGAUUCAUCCGAGAAGUACCCGUUCCUGACCGCGUCUGUCCGUAGUCCACAUCGGAGGUUAGUAGAGCCUGUUCCAUUGUCAUUCCUUUGCUUAGUCCGAAAUCGCCAAUUUUAAUUGACCAUUCGGAGUUGAAGAAAAUGUUACUUGGCUUUAAAUCACGAUGAAUUAUAUUCUACAGAAUUAAUACCAAAAGAUGAAAAACCAUUGCAGAAAAGAAAAUAAACUUUUAAUUAGAACCUGAUUGUGGAGAUAAUGCACCGCCUGUAAAAUAGAUUGAAACAUGUUGUUAACGUCCAGUUGAACACGUUGGGAAAUCGGAGUCUUCAGCCAAUCGGCCAGAUUUUCUUUGCGACAAAGCUCCAUCUUGAUAUACAAAUACAGCCAUUCUCUCUGAACCUCGUCAUCCCUUCGCGUGGCGCUGCCAUCGCUUUUUGCUGACAAUGCCAGCUGAUUAGACAGAGAAGAGUCGCUGACAUUUCCCCAACGCUCGUCCUCCAUUUUCAUUCGUUUUUCGUAAUCGAUGCUAAUUUCAGCCUCACUAGAAAAAUCGUCACUUUGGCUAGACCACGACACGUCAACCUGAUCUUGUUUGCUGUUUCUCCGCCAUGACGGUGGAAGAGUCUCCCACCAGCCGCAGUAGUACUGGACUAUAUUGGGAUGAUGCAAUCGUCGCAUUUCCUGACCAAAGUCAGUGAACGAGAUGUAUUAAUACGAUGCUUAAUGAGGCAAAGACGAUCACAGAAUUGAAAUGUAAUUCUUACAGUUAACUCCCUCAUACUGCUGUAUACCAAUUCCACAUCGUCGUCGUUUGAUAGUUUAAUGCAUUUGAUAGCAAAGGUC
rnacentral:misc_RNA from 1 species